rnacentral:rRNA from 1 species
GUGCGUAGGUGGAUGUUUAAGUGAGAUGUUAAAUCGUGUGGCUCACCAUAUCGAUGCAUCUCAUACUGGGCAUCUAGAGGACAGCAGAGGCAAGUGGAAUUUGUAGUGUAGCAGUGAAAUGCGUAGAUAUUACAAGGAACACCAAUGGCGAAGGCAGCUUGCUGGGCUACUCCUGACACUGAGGUACGAAAGCGUGGGGAGCGAACAGGAUUAGAUACCCUGGUAGUCCACGCCGUAAACGAUGCAUACUAGUCGUAUGGGGUAUCGACCCCCUGUGCGACGAAGCUAACGCGAUAAGUAUGCCGCCUGGGAAGUACGGCCGCAAGGCUAAAACUCAAAGGAAUUGACGGGGACCCGCACAAGCGGUGGAUCAUGUGGCUUAAUAUGACGCUACGCGUAGAACCUUACCGAGGCUUGACAUCCCUGGAACCCCUAAGAGAUUAGGGGGUGCCGCAAGGAAUCAGGUGACAGGUGCUGCAUGGCCGUCGUCAGCUCGUGUCGUGAGAUGUUGGGUUAAGUCCCGCAACGAGCGCAACCCUCAUCGUAUGUC